rnacentral:misc_RNA from 1 species
GAAAUGCGAUAAGUAAUGUGAAUUGCAGAAUUCAGUGAAUCAUCGAAUCUUUGAACGCACCUUGCGCUCCUUGGUAUUCCUUGGAGCAUGCCUGUUUGAGUCUCAUGAAAUCUUCAAAGUAAAUCUUUUGUUAACUCAAUUGGUUUCUACUUUGGUAUUGGAGGUCUUUGCAGCUUCACACCUGCUCCUCUUUGUUCAUUAGCUGGAUCUCAGUGUUAUGCUUGGUUCCACUCGGCGUGAUAAGUUAUCUAUCGCUGAGGACACUGUAAAAGGUGGCCAAGGUAAAUGCAGAUGAACCGCUUCUAAUAGUCCAUUGACUUGGACAAUACUUUUAUGAUCUGAUCUCAAAUCAGGUAGGACUACCCGCUGAACUUAAGC